rnacentral:rRNA from 1 species
UCAGGCCUAACACAUGCAAGUCGAACGGUAACAGGGAGCUUGCUCCGCUGACGAGUGGCGAACGGGUGAGUAAUACAUCGGAACGUGCCCAGUAAUGGGGGAUAGCCCGGCGAAAGCCGGAUUAAUACCGCAUACGCCCUGAGGGGGAAAGUGGGGGACCGCAAGGCCUCACGUUAUUGGAGCGGCCGAUGGCUGAUUAGCUAGUUGGUGAGGUAAAGGCUCACCAAGGCGACGAUCAGUAGCUGGUCUGAGAGGACGACCAGCCACACUGGAACUGAGACACGGUCCAGACUCCUACGGGAGGCAGCAGUGGGGAAUUUUGGACAAUGGGGGCAACCCUGAUCCAGCAAUGCCGCGUGAGUGAAGAAGGCCCUCGGGUUGUAAAGCUCUAUUGUCAGGGAAGAAAAGGUUGUGGCUAAUAUCCGCGGCUGAUGAC